AUUGAACGCUGGCGGCAUGCCUUACACAUGCAAGUCGAACGGUAACAGGUUAAGCUGACGAGUGGCGAACGGGUGAGUAAUGUAUCGGAACGUGCCCAGUCGUGGGGGAUAACUGCUCGAAAGAGCAGCUAAUACCGCAUACGACCUGAGGGUGAAAGCGGGGGAUCGCAAGACCUCGCGCGAUUGGAGCGGCCGAUAUCAGAUUAGGUAGUUGGUAGGGUAAAGGCCUACCAAGCCGACGAUCUGUAGCUGGUCUGAGAGGACGAACAGCCACACUGGGACUGAGACAAGGCCCAGAGUCCUACGGGAGGCAGCAGUGGGGAAUUUUGGACAAUGGACGAAAGUCUGAUCCAGCCAUGCCGCGUGCGGGAAGAAGGCCUUCGGGUUGUAAACCGCUUUUGUCAGGGAAGAAACGCUCUGGGUUAAUACCUCGGGGUAAUGACGGUACCUGAAGAAUAAGCACCGGCUAACUACGUGCCAGCCGCCGCCGUAA
rnacentral:rRNA from 1 species